GUCUCCGUCUCUGUCACCGCCGGCAGCAGCAGUAGCAGCACAUGCCGAACUGGACCAGAAUUCAGAACCCGGGUCGGACCGGGUCGAUCCCCAGCCCGCAAGCGCCCGGAGGCGAACAGCCCCUCGCACGUCCUGGCUCUGAGAUACCCCGAUACCCCGCUCUCACCCCCGGCUUCUGCACCGGCUGUUUGAUCGGGUCUUUUGUUUUCUUGUUGUUUUUUUUUCUUGUUCUGUUGUUUUAUCAGGCGCGGGAUAAUCUCCCCAAAGUUGAAAGAUCGCGGGUAAGAGAAAAAAACAACAACAGAGAGAACAGCUUCUUCGCCCGCAGCCGCUCUCUAACGGUAAACUCCCUCACACACACACUAAUAAGAGAGGCUGCGGAUGACACCCGAGACUGCAGGCUGCUGGCAGGAGUUUGCCUGAAUAUAGGGCUCCCCGUCACCCCCCUGGCGGCCGGGGGAGAGAUCGUCUCGUCUUGUCUCGUCUCGGCGCUGCUCCACACGGCCCGGUCCACAGUCCGGGCGAGGGGACGCGGGAUUCGAGCCCCGCGAUCCCGUGACACAGCGGUGCUGUGCCCCUCCCCCUCCUCCUCCUCCUCCUGCUCCUCCUCCUCGCUCGGACCCGGCUCAGUGGUGGGGCUGGGGGGGUCCCCGCAGAUAGUGGUGGAGAGGGGGAUAUGGAAAUCAAGUCAGCGCUCUCCGAAGUCUGGUCUGGUCUGGUCUCUUCGCGAUCGGAAGGUUCUUGUUUUCGUGCCUCUCGUCUUCCCACUCCACUCCACGCGCGCUUCCGGUCGCGAGACGUGUGCGAGUGGCGUCCGGGAGCGGAGACGCGGGGGUGCCGCUGGCCGGCGUGCGGGAUCCCGGGGGGGGUCUACCGACCCGGGCGACCGAUCACGGCGAGUCUGCGGCUCGACAGCUGGGCUAUUUUAGGAGCCCCUCAUCCGCGCCGCGCAGCCGGGCCAGACCAGACCGGUCGAAAUGACACCCUGUUUUUUAGUUGCUGUUAUUAUUAUUACUGACCGGGAAUAUGAUCCUGGAUGUAAAAGUUCGCCUCGUAGCCGUCCGGUCCCGGGCAGCGACUGAGGUACAGAGAUGUCAACAAUCUGCACCCCCAGACUCCUCCCCUCUCCUCCCCUCCGCUGGCUAAGAGCCCCUGUCUCCUCCCCCCCGCUUGAGAAACAGGUCCCCGCUGCCCGCGGCGGAGAAAGGGUGCUUUCCGUCUCUCUCCGCGAGUGAGCAGGGGCAGGGCGAGCACCCGAUCGCCGCAACACGGAGCAGGACGGGCUUGUGCGCGGUGCGGAGAGCCGGAGAGCCGGAGAGCCGUCCAGCAGGACUGGGAGUCUGGGAGUCGGGUCUUGAGAGAAGGCUGUAGCAGGGAAUCAGUCUGCUGCUCCGGCUCUGGAGUUUACACUGCGGGCAACGAUUGUUCCUGAGUCAGACAUUCCUCCUUAUCACCCCGAUAGCGUCCUGGCAGUGUGAAAACCACACACACACACUGACUGAAACACACAGACACCAACACACACCGUACACACACAAACAAACUCUGAAACACACAGACACCAACACACACCUACCGUACACACUCAGUGUGUGUUUGUAUCUCUGACAGUGUGUAUCGCUGAGAGC
rnacentral:lncRNA from 1 species